rnacentral:rRNA from 1 species
AUUGAACGCUGGCGGCAUGCCUUACACAUGCAAGUCGAACGGCAGCACGGGAGCAAUCCUGGUGGCGAGUGGCGAACGGGUGAGUAAUAUAUCGGAACGUGCCCGGUCGUGGGGGAUAACGUAGCGAAAGCUACGCUAAUACCGCAUACGAUCUACGGAUGAAAGCGGGGGAUCGCAAGACCUCGCGCGAUUGGAGCGGCCGAUAUCAGAUUAGGUAGUUGGUGAGGUAAAGGCUCACCAAGCCGACGAUCUGUAGCUGGUCUGAGAGGACGACCAGCCACACUGGGACUGAGACACGGCCCAGACUCCUACGGGAGGCAGCAGUGGGGAAUUUUGGAC